rnacentral:rRNA from 1 species
GAUGAACGCUGGCGGCGUGCCUAAUACAUGCAAGUCGAGCGAACAGAUAAGGAGCUUGCUCCUUUGACGUUAGCGGCGGACGGGUGAGUAACACGUGGGUAACCUACCUAUAAGACUGGGGUAACUUCGGGAAACCGGAGCUAAUACCGGAUAACAUUUGGAACCGCAUGGUUCUAAAGUGAAAGAUGGUUUUGCUAUCACUUAUAGAUGGACCCGCGCCGUAUUAGCUAGUUGGUAAGGUAACGGCUUACCAAGGCGACGAUACGUAGCCGACCUGAGAGGGUGAUCGGCCACACUGGAACUGAGCCACGGUCCAGACUCCUACGGGAGGCAGCAGUAGGGAAUCUUCCGCAAUGGGCGAAAGCCUGACGGAGCAACGCCGCGUGAGUGAUGAAGGGUUUCGGCUCGUAAAACUCUGUUAUUAGGGAAGAACAAAUGUGUAAGUAACUGUGCACGACUUGACGGUACCUAAUCAGAAAGCCACGGCUAACUACGUG